rnacentral:rRNA from 1 species
GACGAACGCUGGCGGCGUGCUUAACACAUGCAAGUCGAACGGUAAGGCCCUUCGGGGUACACGAGUGGCGAACGGGGGAGUAACACGUGGGUGAUCUGCCCUGCACUUCGGGAUAAGCCUGGGAAACUGGGUCUAAUACCGGAUAGGACCACUGCCUGCAUGGGUGGUGGUGGAAAGCUUUUGCGGUGUGGGAUGGGCCCGCGGCCUAUCAGCUUGUUGGUGGGGUGAUGGCCUACCAAGGCGACGACGGGUAGCCGGCCUGAGAGGGUGACCGGCCAGAAUGGGACUGCGACACGGCCAAGAAUCAAACGGGAAGCAGGAGUGGGGAAUAUUGCACAAUGGGCGCAAGCCUGAUGCAGCAACGCCGCGUGAGGGAUGACGGCCUUCGGGUUGUAAACCUCUUUUAGUAGGGAAGAAGCGAAAGUGACUGUACCUGCAGAAAAAGCACCGGCUAACUACGUGCCAGCCGCCGCGGUAA